rnacentral:tRNA from 1 species
GUGAAUAUAGUUUAAUUAAAACACUAGAUUGUGAUUCUAGAAAUAGAAGUUAAACUCUUCUUAUUCACC